AGGAUUAAGAAACUCACUCAAAACUGCUCAACUACAUGGAAACUGAACAACUUGCUCCUGAAUGACUACUGGGUACAUAACGAAAUGAAGGCAGAAAUAAAGAUGUUCUUUGAAACCAAUGGGAACAAAGACACAACAUACCAGAAUCUCUGGGACACAUUUAAAGCAGUGUGUAGAGGGAAAUUUAUAGCACUAAAUGCCCACAAGAGAAA
rnacentral:lncRNA from 1 species